AAAUGCUACUCGGCGAAUACGAAGCAGGGGUAGAAAGCAGCGUGGCCCACACACCAGGAAUUUUCCCCUUUAGCCUUUCCAGUGGGAGAACCACGAAACAGAGCAGCACCCUGUGCCUUGGGAGGUGUACACCUCGCGCGAGGCAUUUCUCCUUUUUUUUUUUUUCUAUGGAAAGAGUUAUCGAGGCAGCGACUACGAAGAGGGAGGGAUUCAGCAGAACUUUCUCCACCACCUCCAUCCCCACCUCUGCCCAAAAGUAGCCUGGCUGUAGGCACAGGGACCCGACGGGACCCCUCCCUGUCUGGCGGCACCCACCCGCAGCGCCUCUCCCAGGGGUGGCAGCCCCAGGGGGGCGAGCAUCCCUCGGGCAGCCCCUCUCCUCACCUUGCUGACGACGUUUUGGACCAGGCCGGCCCUGAUCCGGUAGUGCCACUCGUGGCAGUCGCACUCGCUGGCGUUGCCGGGGCCGGGCAGCGCGGUGGCCGUGGGGAAGAUGCCGCUGCGGUUGGCGUGCCCGGGGGGGACCAGGGAGCCGUUCCAGUCGCCCUGCUGCCCGUCCGCCUGCCGGCACCAGAAGUCCGGCUGGUCCAGCAGGAAGGAGUCCGAGAACUUGCUGAAGCCGAUGAAGAGGGCCGGCACCCAGGUGAGCAGCACCAGGGUGCGCUGGUACCCGCCGCCCAGCCCCCCGAGGAAGGGCAGCACGGAGCCGUCGUAGUCGAGGAGCAGCGGGCUGCAGGCGGCGGACGACGACGAGGGGGGCGGCGGCAGCGCCUGGAUUUCGGCCCCGACCCCCAGCCCGGCCCCGGGGGGCGGCCCCGGGGGGGCGGCGGCGGCCCCCGGCACGGAGCCGUUCUCCUCCGGCAGCGGCCGGCCCUCGCGGCGCCGCUCUAUCGCCAUGCAGCCGCCCGGGGGGGGGGGCUCACAUAAGGGGGGGCUCCACGGCAAGCCCCGGCGCCUCCCGGCGAGUCGAAGCGGCCCUCCUCCUCCUCCUCCUCCUCCUCCUUCUCCUCGUCGUCCUCCUCUUCCUCGCACUCACGCCUCGCCGAGCGGAGAGGAGAGGGAAGGAAAGGGAAGGGGGGAGGCGGCGGCGAGCGAGCCCCUCGCCCUGCGGCCCCCAGCGGGCUGCGG
rnacentral:lncRNA from 1 species